GGCGGACGGGUGAGUAAUAUAUAGUUAACCUGCCCUCGAGAAAGGAAUAACAGUUGGAAACGACUGCUAAUGCCCUAUAUGCCUUUAAGACAUAAGUCUGCAAGGGAAAUGCUUUUGUGCUCGAGGAUGGGACUGUACGGUAUCAGAUAGUUGGUGGGGUAAUGGCCUACCAAGUCAAUGACGCCUAACUGGUUUGAGAGGAUGAUCAGUCACACUGGAACUGAGACACGGUCCAGACUCCUACGGGAGGCAGCAGUGGGGAAUAUUGCACAAUGGAGGAAACUCUGAUGCAGCAACGCCGCGUGGAGGAUGACACAUUUCGGUGCGUAAACUCCUUUUAUAUAGGAAGAUAAUGACGGUACUAUAUGAAUAAGCGCCGGCUAACUCCGUGCCAGCAGCCGCGGUAAUACGGAGGGCGCAAGCGUUACUCGGAAUCACUGGGCGUAAAGAGCGUGUAGGCGGAUAGAUAAGUCAGAAGUGAAAUCCUAUGGCUCAACCAUAGAACUGCUUUUGAAACUGUUUAUCUAGAGUGUGGGAGAGGUAGAUGGAAUUUCUGGUGUAGGGGUAAAAUCCGUAGAGAUCAGAAGGAAUACCGAUUGCGAAGGCGAUCUACUGGAACAUAACUGACGCUGAGACGCGAAAGCGUGGGGAGCAAACAGGAUUAGAUACCCUGGUAGUCCACGCCCUAAACGAUGUACACUAGUUGUUGUGAGGCUUGACCUUGCAGUAAUGCAGUUAACACAUUAAGUGUACC
rnacentral:rRNA from 1 species